rnacentral:rRNA from 1 species
GACGGAGGAUGCAAGGGUUAUCCGGAAUCACUGGGCGUAAAGCGUCUGUAGGUGGUCAAAUAAGUCAACUGUUAAAUCUUGAGGCUCAACCUCAAAAUCGCAGUCGAAACUAUUAGACUAGAGUAUAGUAGGGGUAAAGGGAAUUUCCAGUGGAGCGGUGAAAUGCGUAGAGAUUGGAAAGAACACCGAUGGCGAAGGCACUUUACUGGGCUAUUACUAACACUCAGAGACGAAAGCUAGGGUAGCAAAUGGG